rnacentral:rRNA from 1 species
CAACUUUUGACAAUGGAUCUCUUGGCACUAGCAUCGAUGAAGAACGCAGCGAAAUGCGAUAAGUAAUGUGAAUUGCAGAGCACAGUGAAUCAUCGAAUCUUUGAACGCACAUGGCGCCCGCCGGUAAUCCGGUGGGCAUGCCUGUCCGAGCGUCAUUUC